GGCUAGCUCAAUCGGUAGAGCGUGAGACUCUUAAUCUCAAGGUUGCGGGUUCGACCCCCGCGUU
rnacentral:tRNA from 2 species